rnacentral:misc_RNA from 1 species
AAAAACAUUUCAUUAGGACUUGUUUAUUUACGAAAUGCAAACAAGGAUAUGAGGAUUUACAUAAAUUAUAGAAUUGAGAUCUUGAAAGAUUGCCUCCAUUGACAAUUUUGAGUAUAAAGUUGCUCCAGUAUGUUCAAGUAUACAAGACAUGUAAUUUCCCAAUUCAUUUCCUUUUUGUAGUGAUUUGUUAAAGCAUAAAUAAUCAGAGAAAAUAAGAAAAAGAAGCAGAAGGAGCAAAGGAUUUAAUAGAAAUAAAAGAAACAUAGUCUAACCAUUUUGGUCUAAUCACUUAAAUUCAGUGGCUCAAAUUUUAUUAAUACUCUUGGGACCAUUUGGGUAGUCAUAAUCGUCACCUAACUCCUUGAGGAACUCUUCCUUGUCUACUCCCAUACUUCUUCUUUUUCUUCUUGUAUAUCAGUAUAUGUAUACGCUUAAUGGCAAAAAGCAUUGAGACGAUUGCAACUUUGUAACUGGAGUUAUGAGUUGAAUCUAGAAUAAUGCCCAAAUAAAUCCCUUUACUUGUGAUUCUUAAACACACACAAACUUCGACUUCAAGCCUUUAACACAAACAGACCAUUAAUGGCAAAAUGAGAAGAGGCAAAGAGGAGAGGAAUUUCAGCAGGGGGAAGAAGAAGAAAGAGAUGUGUUGCUUGAAAUAGAGAGGGAGGUGUUGAGGGUGAGCAGAUAGGGAGGGAUAGGUUAGCGCAUUUAGAUUUUAUCUUAUUCAGCACCUAAUAACUUAAAAAGGUGUGUUUUAAUACUAAUUCAUUUCGGUUCUAUUUUUUGUACUUUUUAUCUCAAAAACUGAACCGAAUUGAAAUAACAUAAAUUUUUUUAAAUGAAAAUUGAAUCGAACUAAUCUUUAUAAAACUGAACCGAAUUUUUGAACUGAUUUGCUUCGAUCAGUUAAUUCAGUCCUAACCGAAUACUGCUCACCCCUACUUUUUAAUACCUUCAUAACAUGCAUGAAUUUGAUAUUCCCUUGGCCACUCAAACUCAUAACAAAAAUUAACUUGACCAUGCAUCCACAUCCUUAAAAUCAUUUUCAAAAAAUUUACAUAUAUAAGAUUUAUGACUUUCCCCCUAAAUUCAUGCAACCUAAAGAAUCAAAUUCUUGUAAUUAAGUGCAAGUAAGAGGGAGAUUUAAGCAAGGGGAAGAAACGUACCUCUUUAAACUCUAAUAUCCUUUUCCCCUUAAAAGGAAGACUUGAAGGAUUUCUUGGAUUCUUCCUACUUCUUCCCCAAUCCUUUACUAGCCUUUAAUCUCCAACAUGCAAGACCAUCACAAGGAAUUAUUUCAAGUUAAUAUCCUAUUUUGAAGACAAGGAAGGGAGAAGAAAAAAAGAAGAGGGAGAAGAGUACUGUCUAGAUGGAAUUUUGAAGCUUCUCCUUAAAAUUUCGUCCAUUGAGACUCUUAUACCCUCACAUAAAAAGGACUUUUGGCUAUUGAAAGUCUAACUUUUAGUUGUCGAAACUCAUUCUGUCCAAAACAAGGAUUUUAUCCUUAAACUUUUCAACUCUGCUCCCCCAAACCUUCUAACACAAAACUUAGAACACUACUAAGACUCUUAUCAUAAUCACCACUCAUCUUUGGAACCCUUAGAUUUAUCAGAAUUCUCGUAAAUGGUAGGAAUUCCGAGUACAGGAACUUGACAAGUGUUACAUUAUUGAUGAAUGGAAUGGGAUGGUUGAGCAAAGAACAUCAUCAUUGUGAAAAUAAUGAUUACCACGUACAUCAAUCCAAUAAUGAUCCAACUUUGGUUAUCAUUCAUGUGGGAAUUAAGCUUCAAGGAACAGAAGAGAAUGGUAUAGUAUUUGAACUCAAUUAAUGGAGUAGGAACUAGGACUGUAGUUGUAGUUGUAACCAAGAAAUAUGCUAAUACUCACAUUUUAUUUUGAAUUUUCUUGACUUUGAGCAUGGAGAAGGAGUUGCUGCCAAAGCCAAAGAAGCCCAAGACCAUGAAGAUCAAGUUGUUUGAGAUGCAUGUAUGAGAGGUAUGCAAGAGAGAGAAACAAGGGAAGAAGAUGAUCAAUGAGGAUAGAAUUAUGUUUUUUUAAUUUUAUUUUAAG